rnacentral:rRNA from 1 species
ACGCUCGACACCUACGGGAUGCAGCAGUGAGGGAUAUUCGGCAAUGGGGGAAACCCUGACCGAGCAACGCCGCGUGAGGGAAGACGGUUUUCGGAUUGUAAACCUCUGUCCUCUGUGAAGAUAGUGACGGUAGCAGAGGAGGAAGCUCCGGCUAACUACGUGCCAACAGCCGCGGUAAUCUGAGCGGGCUGGCAAGGC